rnacentral:rRNA from 1 species
AAUAGAUACCCAGGUAGUCCAUGCCGUAAACGUUGGGAACUAGAUGUGGGGACCAUUCCACGGUCUCCGUGUCGCAGCUAACGCAUUAAGUUCCCCGCCUGGGGAGUACGGUCGCAAGGCUAAAACUCAAAGGAAUUGACGGGGCCCGCACAAGCGGCGGAGCAUGCGGAUUAAUUCGAUGCAACGCGAAGAACCUUACCAAGGCUUGACAUAGCCGAGAACGCUGCAGAAAUGUAGAACUCUUUGGACACUCGGUUACAGGUGGUGCAUGGUUGUCGUCAGCUCGUGUCGUGAGAUGUUGGGUUAAGUCCCGCAACGAGCGCAACCCUCGUCGUAUGUUGCCAGCACGUAAUGGUGGGAACUCAUAUGAGACUGCCGGGGUCAACUCGGAGGAAGGUGGGGAUGAGGUCAAAUCAUCAUGCCCCUUAUGUCUUGGGCUUCACGCAUGCUACAAUGGCCGGUACAAAGGGCUGCAAUACCGCGAGGUGGAGCGAAUCCCAAAAAGCCGGUCUCAGUUCGGA